CACACUAUCAUUAACUGAAUCCAUAGGUUAAUGAGGCGAACCGGGGGAACUGAAACAUCUAAGUACCCCGAGGAAAAGAAAUCAACCGAGAUUCCCCCAGUAGCGGCGAGCGAACGGGGAGCAGCCCAGAGCCUGAAUCAGUGUGUGUGUUAGUGGAAGCGUCUGGAAAGGCGCGCGAUACAGGGUGACAGCCCCGUACACAAAAAUGCACAUGCUGUGAGCUCGAUGAGUAGGGCGGGACACGUGGUAUCCUGUCUGAAUAUGGGGGGACCAUCCUCCAAGGCUAAAUACUCCUGACUGACCGAUAGUGAACCAGUACCGUGAGGGAAAGGCGAAAAGAACCCCGGCGAGGGGAGUGAAAAAGAACCUGAAACCGUGUACGUACAAGCAGUGGGAGCCUCUUUUAUGGGGUGACUGCGUACCUUUUGUAUAAUGGGUCAGCGACUUAUAUUCUGUAGCAAGGUUAACCGAAUAGGGGAGCCGAAGGGAAACCGAGUCUUAACUGGGCGUUAAGUUGCAGGGUAUAGACCCGAAACCCGGUGAUCUAGCCAUGGGCAGGUUGAAGGUUGGGUAACACUAACUGGAGGACCGAACCGACUAAUGUUGAAAAAUUAGCGGAUGACUUGUGGCUGGGGGUGAAAGGCCAAUCAAACCGGGAGAUAGCUGGUUCUCCCCGAAAGCUAUUUAGGUAGCGCCUCGUGAAUUCAUCUCCGGGGGUAGAGCACUGUUUCGGCAAGGGGGUCAUCCCGACUUACCAACCCGAUGCAAACUGCGAAUACCGGAGAAUGUUAUCACGGGAGACACACGGCGGGUGCUAACGUCCGUCGUGAAGAGGGAAACAACCCAGACCGCCAGCUAAGGUCCCAAAGUCAUGGUUAAGUGGGAAACGAUGUGGGAAGGCCCAGACAGCCAGGAUGUUGGCUUAGAAGCAGCCAUCAUUUAAAGAAAGCGUAAUAGCUCACUGGUCGAGUCGGCCUGCGCGGAAGAUGUAACGGGGCUAAACCAUGCACCGAAGCUGCGGCAGCGACGCUUAUGCGUUGUUGGGUAGGGGAGCGUUCUGUAAGCCUGUGAAGGUGUGCUGUGAGGCAUGCUGGAGGUAUCAGAAGUGCGAAUGCUGACAUAAGUAACGAUAAAGCGGGUGAAAAGCCCGCUCGCCGGAAGACCAAGGGUUCCUGUCCAACGUUAAUCGGGGCAGGGUGAGUCGACCCCUAAGGCGAGGCCGAAAGGCGUAGUCGAUGGGAAACAGGUUAAUAUUCCUGUACUUGGUGUUACUGCGAAGGGGGGACGGAGAAGGCUAUGUUGGCCGGGCGACGGUUGUCCCGGUUUAAGCGUGUAGGCUGGUUUUCCAGGCAAAUCCGGAAAAUCAAGGCUGAGGCGUGAUGACGAGGCACUACGGUGCUGAAGCAACAAAUGCCCUGCUUCCAGGAAAAGCCUCUAAGCAUCAGGUAACAUCAAAUCGUACCCCAAACCGACACAGGUGGUCAGGUAGAGAAUACCAAGGCGCUUGAGAGAACUCGGGUGAAGGAACUAGGCAAAAUGGUGCCGUAACUUCGGGAGAAGGCACGCUGAUAUGUAGGUGAAGUCCCUUGCGGAUGGAGCUGAAAUCAGUCGAAGAUACCAGCUGGCUGCAACUGUUUAUUAAAAACACAGCACUGUGCAAACACGAAAGUGGACGUAUACGGUGUGACGCCUGCCCGGUGCCGGAAGGUUAAUUGAUGGGGUCAGCGCAAGCGAAGCUCUUGAUCGAAGCCCCGGUAAACGGCGGCCGUAACUAUAACGGUCCUAAGGUAGCGAAAUUCCUUGUCGGGUAAGUUCCGACCUGCACGAAUGGCGUAAUGAUGGCCAGGCUGUCUCCACCCGAGACUCAGUGAAAUUGAACUCGCUGUGAAGAUGCAGUGUACCCGCGGCAAGACGGAAAGACCCCGUGAACCUUUACUAUAGCUUGACACUGAACAUUGAGCCUUGAUGUGUAGGAUAGGUGGGAGGCUUUGAAGUGUGGACGCCAGUCUGCAUGGAGCCGACCUUGAAAUACCACCCUUUAAUGUUUGAUGUUCUAACGUUGACCCGUAAUCCGGGUUGCGGACAGUGUCUGGUGGGUAGUUUGACUGGGGCGGUCUCCUCCUAAAGAGUAACGGAGGAGCACGAAGGUUGGCUAAUCCUGGUCGGACAUCAGGAGGUUAGUGCAAUGGCAUAAGCCAGCUUGACUGCGAGCGUGACGGCGCGAGCAGGUGCGAAAGCAGGUCAUAGUGAUCCGGUGGUUCUGAAUGGAAGGGCCAUCGCUCAACGGAUAAAAGGUACUCCGGGGAUAACAGGCUGAUACCGCCCAAGAGUUCAUAUCGACGGCGGUGUUUGGCACCUCGAUGUCGGCUCAUCACAUCCUGGGGCUGAAGUAGGUCCCAAGGGUAUGGCUGUUCGCCAUUUAAAGUGGUACGCGAGCUGGGUUUAGAACGUCGUGAGACAGUUCGGUCCCUAUCUGCCGUGGGCGCUGGAGAACUGAGGGGGGCUGCUCCUAGUACGAGAGGACCGGAGUGGACGCAUCACUGGUGUUCGGGUUGUCAUGCCAAUGGCACUGCCCGGUAGCUAAAUGCGGAAGAGAUAAGUGCUGAAAGCAUCUAAGCACGAAACUUGCCCCGAGAUGAGUUCUCCCUGACCCUUUAAGGGUCCUGAAGGAACGUUGAAGACGACGACGUUGAUAGGCCGGGUGUGUAAGCGCAGCGAUG
rnacentral:rRNA from 1 species